UCCCUUCUGGCUCAGACAGUAGGGAACCUGCCUGCAAUGCAGGAGACCUGGGUUUGAUUCCUAGGGAAUGCA
rnacentral:tRNA from 1 species